rnacentral:tRNA from 1 species
GGAAAUGUGCCUGAAUAAAGGACCACUUUGAUAGAGUGGGUAAUGAGAGUUAAAACCCCUCCAUUUCCU